GGGAACAAAUUUUAAAGGGUGUUAAACAUAGGAGACUCCGCCCAUUACAACUCUUGGAAUCUGUCAUUCUUCUUUGCUUAAAACAAGACCAUUCCCAAACAAAUUUUCAAGAAUUUUGAACUCCGAAUAUUACCUUGUAGGUGGGGAAGAGGCUUCAAAAAAAAAUUGAUAGAGAAGGGAAAAGAGUUAAGUGUCUCCCCCAUUUUGAAGUUCAAGCUAAUGUAACUUUGGUUUUCUCAACGGAGCGUAUCAAACCAUCUUUGAAGGAUAAUAGGCUCUACAAUGGAAUCUUGGCGUUGGGAAAUUUGCUAAAGAGCCAUUUGUGCCUUGGGUUGAAAGCUUGCUGGAGAUUGUGGUUAAGUUGGGGUUAAGCCAUAAACGAGUAAUGAAGGAAAGUGUUGAAAAAAAAAUUCCGCUAGCAUUGUGGUCUAAUAUCAAGGACAAGUUGGUAGAAAUUUGAAGUUGAGUUGGAACCCCGGUUGUUGGAAGAAAUCAACAAGGCUUGGGUGAUGAUGAUGGAUUGAAUUAUGCUAAGUCUCCCAACAGAAAUAGAACAAGCUUAAACUAUGGAAAAUUGGUAUAAUUGGUGAGAAUUCCCACCAAAGAAGAUAAGUAAAUUUUGGGGACCAAUUGUGGUGAGAGGACUUCAGCUUGCAACGUAGGUAAUUGGUGUCUCAUAGCCCUACCCUUGUAUUACUCCAUUAACUAGAUGUCGAGUGGUCAACUGUUUAAAAGAAAUGUUGUAUUUUUAAAACUAUUUUGGGUCGAGGCCUUUAGGUAUUGU